UACUUUGUUUUGAAGACAAACUAGUCCGGGUAUGGCAAAUUCGACUCUCCUUAGUAACACAUUACUCUUGAAAACAAAACAACUUAAUUCUAAACAUAUAAAUUGGAAUGGUCUAUAGUUCUUUCAUUUUUCUUCCUUUCCUCGCUGUUGGCUUUUGAGCCAGAGCCUUAAAACACAGCCCCAAAGACUCUAGAACUCCUGCCCCACCUCCCAAGCGACGGGCUUCUAAGGGUGUACUACCACGCCAGGCUUCUGUGAGUACUGUUGUCUCCACCUAUGACAGUGCUUGAGGCACUGAAGACAUUUGGUUCUUAGCCUACAGAAGACACAUGUACAGGCACGGCAUCUCGGCAUCUCCUUGGUCUAUUCGUGUCCCAUGGAACUUAGGCUGCAUCUUCAGUCUUGGACUUGCCUUCUUUACAUAGAGAACCACACAGGCCCCAGGACUCUUAGCAGCCAAUGGGAAAGUGUGUCUGGAGUACAUGGAGCAGAAGCAACCUGGAGCCUUUUCUGUCUUCAUCUCAGCAUAACAAGACUUUAGGGAACUCCAGUGUGGUGCAAAAGGAUACGAUGUUCAGCCAUCUUAGCCAUGAGAUCAUCAUUGUCGAAAAGCAAUAAACAGAUCACAGCAAUAAU